UAAUGAGGCGCUCUGUGCAGGCCAUGUCACCCGAUGGAGAAGCCAUCGUGACCGGGGCGGGAGACGAAACGCUUCGGUUCUGGAACGUCUUCAGUAAAAUGAGAUCCACUAAGGAAUCUGUGUCGGUGCUGAACCUCUUCACCAGGAUCCGGUAGUCUGUUCUGCAAGGGAGCAGCGGCGGGAAGGGGGGGAGUCAUCUCUGCACGCAUCACGUUGUGAACGGACCAUCUUCAGGAGGGGAGGCGGCGGGCGGGGGCUCCCUUCSCCUCCGCUUCUCUUGAAUAAUUUAGCCGUGUUGUAGCCGAGGUUGGGAGGUGCUGCAGAGAUGCACAGUCAGGUUGUGGAGAGCCGAGGGGAGGAGCACAGCGCACACAGAGUGAACCACUGCCUCUGCAAACAGACCUGUGGUCCCCGACCACGGGGAACGUUCCGGAGCCGUCUGUGCGAUUGUUUUGUUUACAAACUGACUCUGUGCAUACCUGCCAAAAUAUAUUACGUUUGUCCUUUU